rnacentral:lncRNA from 1 species
GCAGACGGAAGAGUUAGCCAUGUGGACAAACCUAAGGAAGCCUCUCCUAGGGAAACCUAGGCAGGAGAUGAGCCUCGUCUCUUCAGGAAAAGGAGAAAAGGAGAACUAGGUCACGCUUGCUGCGCCUGGUUGCCUGGAAUUGUUCUCCUAGUUGUGCUCAGGGAAAAGGACAACUUGGCUUCAGUCUACUGGAAUGCACAUCAGCUGGGAGUGU